rnacentral:misc_RNA from 1 species
AGUUAGGUAACAUUCAAAUUGACGUUUAUGUUUUCCAAAAUGAAUCCAAGACAUUAUUCACCUCUUUUCUUGUAUUUCUUAUCAACACUUGUCAGUUACAAAAGUUAUGCUGUCCUGAUAAAGGGGCAAAAUGGUUUGAUGAUACUAUUUGGUUUUUAAACUUCAAAUAUAUGGUGGAACAUGAGUUGAUUGUCAGGCUUUGUUUUGCAUUCCUUCUCGACACUUGUUUU